rnacentral:rRNA from 1 species
AUGCAGUCGAACGGGCUCUUCGGAGCAAGUGGCGGACGGGUGAGUAACGCGUGAGAAUGUGCCUUGAGGAUGGGGAUAACAAUAGGAAACUAAUGCUAAGACCCAAUGUGCCUUAAGUGGUGAAAAAUGAAAAUUGCCUGAAGAGGAGCUCGCGUCUGAUUAGCUAGUUGGGGUGGUAAAAGCGCACCAAGGCGACGAUCAGUAGCUGGUCUGAGAGGAUGAGCAGCCACACUGGGACUGAGACACGGCCCAGACUCCUACGGGAGGCAGCAGUGGGGAAUUUUCCGCAAUGGGCGAAAGCCUGACGGAGCAAUACCGCGUGAGGGAGGAAGGCUCUUGGGUUGUAAACCUCAAAACUUAGGGAAGAAAAAAAUGACGGUACCUAAUAUAAGCAUCGGCUAACUCCGUG